UACAGAGGUCCCAAGCGUUGUUCGGAUUCAUUGGGCGUAAAGGGUGCGUAGGUGGUGCUGUAAGUCAGGUGUGAAAUCUCGGGGCUCAACCCCGAAACUGCACUUGAUACUGCAGUGCUGGAGGACUGGAGAGGAGAUCGGAAUUCAUGGUGUAGCAGUGAAAUGCGUAGAUAUCAUGAGGAAGACCGGUGGCGAAGGCGGAUCUCUGGACAGUUCCUGACACUGAGGAACGAAGGCUAGGGGAGCAAACGGG
rnacentral:rRNA from 1 species